rnacentral:rRNA from 1 species
GACGAACCGUGCGAACGUUGUUCGGAUUCACUGGGCUUAAAGGGCGCGUAGGCGGGCUCGCAAGUCGGGGGUGAAAUACUUCAGCUUAACUGGAGAACAGCCCUCGAUACUGCGGGCCUCGAGGGAGGUAGGGGCAUGCGGAACUUCGGGUGGAGCGGUGAACUGCGUAGAUAUCCGAAGGAACGCCGGUGGCGAAGGCGGAUCUCUGGGCCUUACCUGACGCUCAGGCGCGAAAGCUAGGGGAGCGAACUGG